rnacentral:rRNA from 1 species
UACAGAGGGUGCAAGCGUUAAUCGGAAUUACUGGGCGUAAAGCGUGCGUAGACGGUUAUGUAAGUCGGGUGUGAAAGCCCCGGGCUCAACCUGGGAAUGCCAUUCGAGACUGCAUAGCUAGGGUGCGGAAGAGGGAAGCGGAAUUUCCGGUGUAGCGGUGAAAUGCGUAGAUAUCGUAAGGAAGACCAGUGGCGAAGGCGGGUCUCUGGACAGUUCCUGACGCUGAGGCACGAAGGUCAGGGGAGCAAACGGG